rnacentral:lncRNA from 1 species
AAUCUCAAGGAAGCUCUUUGGGAGCCAGGAUUCCCAGCACUUAGCUGGUGGGCAAAGGGGUUCAACCCCUUCCCCACACCCCACCUUCCCUCCUCCCAGUCUUCGGGAUUGCGGAGCUCCUGCCGGGAUCCAAGAGCAGGCUCUUGGAGGUCGAAGAAGGAUAUAACCUCCAGACCUGGAAUUUAAGACGCAAGAACCAGCCAGCAAAAGUGGCAGCCGAGCAUGCGAUUGUGUCAUACACUGAAGGAGAACAUAGAGUUCUGAGUCCUCAAUAGACACAUGUCAAGUACUACCUUGGAAACUGGGAAGAAACAACUUUGGACUUGACUUUGGUUUUAGGACCUUAUCGUGUGGGCAGGGGACUGCUGAUGGCUUUUUAUUAGGAAGCUAUGCAACUUGAGGUUCUACUGAAAAGGAGAAGAGGCCACUGGAGAUGGGAAGCCACGAAAACGGACGAGAAACUACAGCAUUACUUCUGCAGAUUCACAAAGGAGUCCACGUUCCAAGAUGAGAGAAAUACCAGAAGCCGAUGGCUAUUCUACUUGACUGAAUGAAAAGAAAAGGAAGGCACUUCCUGUCAAUCCUGCUUUGGAUUCCUAGACAGUUUAAGAAGCACCAUUGAUCUGAUCAUUGGCACUGAGGAGGAAAUGCCCAUCCGCAGAAGACAUGCAGGGCUCAACCCAGCUUGACAUGGGCAGUGAGUGGUUUCUGAUGUAACCCUUUCUGUAAACUACCCCCUCACACACAUGUAAACCCCUGCUUCCUCCUUUAAGUAGCCACAUUGGUGGUGCCUCUGUUGUAAGGUUACAGGGGAGAAUGACUAGACAGUAGUGAGGAAAGCAUUUGGGAAGGUGAUUCGUUUCUGUUUUUCUGGUACUCUCCCAAAACAGGAGAUACUCUUGUUGCAUAGAUGCAGUCAGUGGUUUCUUGCAGUCAGUGGUUUCUUGGAUUUGGGGAGUUAAAAGUCAUGUGACACAGGCCUAUUGACACAUCGAUGUGAGGAGUUUAAGGUAAUGCUGCUGUGAUUGAGAAGAAUCGCCCCAGUAAAGCUUUAGCAUGAAGCCAAGCAGCUUAUAAUGACACAGGAUUCUCAAUGAAUGAAGUUUUAAGGGAUAAAAUCUUUACAAUGAAAUAAAAACAAUCUUAAGAAAACGAUUAGGCUCUAGUAAAAAUAAGCUGUGUUUUAAGAGUGGUUUCUAUAUUCAGCGUUAUUAUCCUUCACUUAUACUCAGAUAAAUAUGUUAUGCUCAAGCUGGCUCAUAGUCUUCAGAAAUAAGAAUGGACAUUAUACUUUGAUGUAAUAUCAACAUGUUGCAUAUACAAAGUAAACACUUUUGGUGAUAAAAAAUA